GGCCUAACACAUGCAAGUCGAACGCCCCGCAAGGGGAGUGGCAGACGGGUGAGUAACACGUGGGAACCUUCCCUAUGGUUCGGAAUAGCCCAGGGAAACUUGGGGUAAUACCGGAUAAGCCCUUCGGGGGAAAGAUUUAUCGCCAUUGGAUGGGCCCGCGUCGGAUUAGCUAGUUGGUGAGGUAACGGCUCACCAAGGCGACGAUCCGUAGCUGGUCUGAGAGGAUGAUCAGCCACACUGGGACUGAGACACGGCCCAGACUCCUACGGGAGGCAGCAGUGGGGAAUAUUGGACAAUGGGCGCAAGCCUGAUCCAGCCAUGCCGCGUGAGUGGCGAAGGCCUUAGGGUUGUAAAGCUC
rnacentral:rRNA from 1 species